rnacentral:rRNA from 1 species
UACAGAGGGGGCAAGCGUUGUUCGGAAUUACUGGGCGUAAAGGGUGCGCAGGCGGCGUCGCAAGUCAGGCGUGAAAUCCCCGGGCUUAACCUGGGAACUGCACUUGAAACUACGAUGCUGGAGUAUGGCAGAGGGAGGUGGAAUUCCACGUGUAGCGGUGAAAUGCGUAGAGAUGUGGAGGAACACCGAUGGCGAAGGCAGCCUCCUGGGCCAAUACUGACGCUCAUGCACGAAAGCGUGGGGAGCAAACAGG